rnacentral:misc_RNA from 1 species
UAUCAGGAAUAGCAGCAAAGUAUGUUAGCAAGCCGAUGUUACCCUACCCGCUGCUCUCGUCUUCAAUUCCGUCGCGCUCAGCAUUAGAUCUUGAGGUUGGAGGCUACGGGGUCCAGACGGGAAUUGGGGGUGAGUUGUUUGGAGCUGGAGAAUUGCUCAGGUCCAUAUCCGGCCAGACUGAUAUUGAAAAGCCAAUUGUUGUCGAACUUGCGGUAUCAGCCAUGGAGGAGCUAGUUAGAAUGGCACAGCUCGGAGAACCACUGUGGACUUCUGGUCUUGAUCACAGCUCUACUGAAAUUCUGAAUGAAGA